rnacentral:lncRNA from 1 species
GUAGGCGCGGAAACGGAACCCGAAAGGCUAUGUUGGGCCAUGAGCUAAAUCCGGCAUUAGCGUGGAUGAAAAGAUGAUGAAAACAUGCUCGAAAACAUGUUUGGAGAGUCUCGGUUCGAUUUGAAAUGAAUCGGAGGUCAAACGGGCGAAAACAAAGCGAAAACGGACCCCGAAAGCUGAAAAAGCUGAAAAUUUGGCUAAGUCUGGAAUGCUGUUUUUCUGGACAUUCGGGGACCGGUCCCUCAAGUCCAGAGACCGGUCCCAACACCCGAAAAUGGCCCAGUUUGGGCUGUGUGUGACUUAUAUUGUUGAGGGACCUUUGUGCAAUUGUGCAAAGGGUAUAGAGGUGUGUUGGAGCUUAUUUCUCUCCUUCUCCCUCACAUUUGCAACCAAGUAGACCUCUCUCUCUCUCUCUAGAAGCUCUCUCUCUCUCUUCAAGGAGGAAGGAAAGGAGGUGGAUUUGGUGGAGAACAAGAUCAAGAGAGGGAUUAGCAUCUUCUUCUUCUUCCUCUCCACCAUUGGAGCUUGCUUUGGAGGUAAGCUCAUGAGAGUUUUCAUGGUAGAU